GUUUUCAUUGCUGAAUGGCCGGUUUUAUGUACAAUUAGUUUUCCUGGAUCACUGCACACAGUUCCGUCAAAAGAAGGUAGGAGGGAUUUGUUAAGCUCAGAUGGAGGAGACGGCAGCUGACAACAAGUGCCUUCUAGCGAACGAUGCUCAUGAAGCUCAACAACCAGAAGAGAAUGAGGAAAAGGGCAAGACUAAAACUACGUCUGAAUCAGUUGCAGAUAAAGACAAAGAACUGCCUGAGCUCACAAUUGUGUUACUUGGUGACACAAAUUCCAUGGAGAUUGGGCCAAACAACAUUUUACUUGACCACGAAGAGAAAUCCAAUGUGGAUCAGUUUUCAUCCAAGUUGUAUGAUAUGUGUGGUCGGCAAAUCUCUGUCAUUAAUAUGAUCAGUCUCCAAAAUGUUGCUAAAAUCCCAUCAGAUCAGGCAUUUCAUGUCUUUCUCUUACUGGUGCCAUAUGGUCUGCAUUGCAGCCAUUACAGCUCAGGGAUUCAGUGGCUAGAAAAGACGUUUGGAGAAGGAUUUCUUCCUUAUGUAAUGACUGUUGUAACUCGUGAGCCAGGUGAAAAAUGUGAAAGUGCACUGGCAGACCUGAAAGCUAACAGUGGUUUGACCGAAAAAAGAUUCCACACAUGUACAAGAAAUAUGACAGAUGAAGAUGAGAUAAUAGCUCUGUUAGAGAAAAUAGAUAUCAUGGUCUCUGAAAACAAUCCCCACUGCUACAGUGGACUGAUGUGUGAUGAAGACAAAGACGAGGAUCAUCUGCAGCCAAACAAAAAAGAGGAUGAGAUCAGAUCUUCAGGUUAUCAGCAUAAACAAAAAGAACUAGCCUCUGCUCUUCGACAGUCGGCCUCUGCUGUUGGACGAUCAGCAUCUGCUGUUGGACAGUCAGCCUCUGCUUGUUGGACAGUUGGCCGCUGUUUUUGGACGGUUGGCCGAUGCAGUUGGGCAUUUGGUCGCUGUGGUUGGAAGGUUGGCCGCUGCGGUUGGACGGUUGGCCGCUGUUUUUGGACAGUCAGCCGUUGUGGUCGUGCGAUGAACUGCUGCCUUUGGUUGGCCACCCGCUGCUGCUGGGUGGUCAGCCACUGUGGCUGGGCAUUCAGCCGCUGCUUUUGGAAUUUCAGGCACUGGUUUUGGGCAGUCAGCCGCUGCUACUGGAAGGUCAUCCGCGGAUGCUGGAAGUUCAUUCGCUGGUGUUGGAUGGUCAGGCGGCAUUGUUGGGACUGUAUGCCACUGCUCUAAUAUCUUGUUUAUAUUUUAAAGACCAAAUUUCCAAAUGCAGAAUUUGCUUUAAACAGACUAAAUUGUUCCCGUUUUGAUCUAGAUUUUGUAUUAUAUAUGAUGCGAUAUUGUGUCCACCCAGUAGUAAUCUAUCCCAGUUGAAUUUUUGUGCAUUUUCAUUGUGUUUUUAUGUUCAUUUAUCAUAAUGUCUGCUUCCUUGUUGCCCAGGUCACUCGAGAAACUAACUUUUUAAAUCUCAGGGAAUUUGUUUAUCAAAAGAAAUCAUUGAAAUUACCCAAUGGGCAGAAAUUACAACUGCGAUAAUGAUGACUAUCUGGAAAGUUUUUUUCCUAAUAUCAUCACUUUAAUUAUGUAAAUUUCCCCCUGAGACAUUAUGUCCUCUGUAGUUGACACAGAUAAACAGAGAGGUGCGUUUUUUCCCUCAGUUCUUAAGAGGUUAAUAAUGUUAAAUCAUAUACAAACACCAAAAGAUUUUGGUUUAAUCGAAUAUAUAAAACAAUAUAUUUGUAGAUUUGGAAAAAAAUGUGCGUCAUUGAGUGUUGUAGUUCCCUAACUCCUUUACUCUGCAGUCUCUAAACAAAGGCCGUGUGAGACUACAUUUUAAUAGCGCCAUAUGUGAUUUCAGUCAGUAGAGGGCACUGUUUACUGUUAACUUAUUUGUAGUGGCUCAGCAUACAGACAACUAAUAUUAUACAAUCAUGAGUUAAUUUACAACAGCAAGAUGCACUCCAACAACACAAACCUUCACCAAGGCAACUCACUGUCGGGGCAGUACUUACUAUUAAGGGAAUAGUGCUGUAUUUUGUAUAUUUUCAUUGUGUUUUCUUUGAUAUUUUGAAACCUUUUUCAUGUGAAUAUAGUACAUGCAUGACAUUUAUUUCAUUCUUUAAUAAAAUUCAUUUAAAUGUUUAAUAAUAAAUAUUAAAAGUAUGCAUGAGAAUUCUACAUGUAUUCAAACUGUUAUGUAUCUAAACACUGAUAAUCUGUUACUGCUGUGUGCAUAAAGUCAUAAUAAAAUAAAUGUUACCAAAACAAACAAAA
ensembl:lncRNA